rnacentral:rRNA from 1 species
GACGUAGGGCGCGAGCGUUGUCCGGAUUUAUUGGGCGUAAAGAGCUCGUAGGCGGCUUGUCGCGUCGACUGUGAAAACCCGUGGCUCAACCAUGUGGUCUGCAGUCGAUACGGGCAGGCUAGAAUUCGGUAGGGGAGACGUGGAAUUCCUGGUGUAGCGGUGAAAUGCGCAGAUAUCAGGAGGAACACCGGUGGCGAAGGCGGGUCUCUGGGCCGAUAUUGACGCUGAGGAGCGAAAGCGUGGGGAGCGAACAGG